AUGCCCUUAAAAUUCUGGAAUGAGGCCUUUCUCACCAUUGUUCACAUCAUUAAUAUGCUUCCUAGUCGUGUCAUCAAGAAUGAAACACUCAUAGAAAAACUUCUUCAUACCAAACCAGACUACACUUCUCUCUGUGUGUUUGGAUGCGCUUGUUGGCCUAAUCUAAGACCAUACAACAAUCGCAAGCUUAUGUUUCGAUCUAAGCAGUGUGUUUUCAUUAGCAAUAGUUCUAUGCACAAAGGUGACAAAUGCCUAGAUGUGUCCACUAGCUGUGUUUAUAUUUCACGUGAUGUAGUCUUUGAUGAAACUAAGUUUCCCUUUGCUGAUCUUCAUCCAAAUGUCGGUGCCUUACUUUGCCACGAAAUUCUACUUCUGCCUUCCCACCUCGCUGGUUUUGUCCAAAGGGGGGAUAAUAAUUGUGUUGAUCCAUCAUUGACUAAUCCUCAUAACCGUGUGCAUGAGCUCUGUGGUAAUGCACCAGAAGAAACCGCUAGCAAAAUUGGUGAAGAAAUCGCUCGAAAUGAUCAAGAAAUCAGUCCCAAUGGGCAAUACUUGAUGUGUCCAGGUUUGGGAAGCAAAUCCUCCUCGGGAUUGGUUCUGCAGGACAUG
rnacentral:rRNA from 1 species